GGGGCUUGGGUCUGAGUGCCUCUGCUCCAGAGUGACUCUUCUUUAAAGAUGCCCUCAGUGGCUUCUUUAAACCGGGGGAUGGUGGGGAGUUGUGGCUCGGCAGGUUACCAACCCGACUAGGAUCUAUGAGGAGGAGGAUUUGAUCCCUGGCCUUUGCUCAGUGGGUUAAGGAUCCGGUAUUUCCGUGAGCUGUGGUGUAGGUCGCAGACACGGCUGGGAUCUGGCGUUGCUGUGUCUGUGGUGUCUGCCGGCGGCUACAGCUCUGAUUCCACGCCUAACCUGGGAACUUCUAUGUGCCAUGGGUGCAGCCCUAAUAAUAAAAAUAGAAAAUAAAAUAAAAUAAGAUGCCCUUGGCAUCAUUGUGCACCCCCCUUGCCCCCCGUCAUGUUCUUUCCCUGCCCUGCUAGUGUGUGGCGGUGGGUGGCAGGACCCAGAGACAUGGCCAGUGCCAGGAGCCACACAGCAGCAGCUUCUCUCUCCUCCCAGAUCAGCCCUGUCAGCCCUCCUCGAACCCGCACUGCCCGCCUGAUGACCGCCAAGGAGGGCCAGGCCCUGCUGAGUCACGAGGCCGCUCCCCCGCUGGGCACUGAGUCAUUCUUAACGAGCCCUCUGACGGGCAAACUGCUGCCAUCAUCCAGGAUUCACCCAAGUCUGCAGGAUUUGAGAACAUUCUUCCGGGAAGGAGUCUGGAGCCUCCCCCACACGGCUGCCCACAUCAGGAGCCUCAGAUACAGAGGCCUUUUUCCUUGCCUUUGGCCUCAGCAUCCAACACUCCACUCUUCUCAUGGAAACUCCGGGGGAGCGGCAGCGGAAACUCCAUCCGAUGCUUCACUGGGAAUCGGCAC
rnacentral:lncRNA from 1 species